rnacentral:rRNA from 1 species
GAUGAACGCUGGCGGCGUGCCUAAUACAUGCAAGUCGAGCGAACAGACGAGGAGCUUGCUCCUCUGACGUUAGCGGCGGACGGGUGAGUAACACGUGGAUAACCUACCUAUAAGACCGGGAUAACUUCGGGAAACCGGAGCUAAUACCGGAUAAUAUAUUGAACCGCAUGGUUCAAUAGUGAAAGACGGUUUUGCUGUCACUUAUAGAUGGAUCCGCGCCGCAUUAGCUAGUUGGUAAGGUAACGGCUUACCAAGGCAACGAUGCGUAGCCGACCUGAGAGGGUGAUCGGCCACACUGGAACUGAGACACGCUCCAGACUCCUACGGGAGGCAGCAGUAGGGAAUCUUCCGCAAUGGGCGAAAGCUUGACGGAGCAACGCCGCGUGAGUGAUGAAGGUCUUCGGAUCGUAAAACUCUGUUAUUAGGGAAGAACAAAUGUGUAAGUAACUAUGCACGUCUUGACGGUACCUAAUCAGAAAGCCACGGCUAACUACGUG